UGAGGGAAUAUUGGGACAAUGGAGGCAACUCUGAUCCAGCCAUGCCGCGUGAAGGACUAAGGCCCUAUGGGCUGUAAACUUCUUUAGACGCAGAGCAAUAAGGGCCACGUGCGGUCCGAUGAGAGUAUGCGUAGAAUAAGCAUCGGCUAACUCCGUGCCAGCAGCCGCGGUAAUACGGGGGGAUGCGAGCGUUAUCCGGAUUCAUUGGGUUUAAAGGGUGCGUAGGCGGCUUUGCAAGUCAGCGGUGAAAGGCCCGGGCUCAACCCGGAAAGUGCCGUUGAUACUGCUGGGCUUGAAUGCGGAUGCCGUGGGAGGAAUGUGUGGUGUAGCGGUGAAAUGCAUAGAUAUCACACAGAACACCGAUUGCGAAGGCAUCUCACGAAUCCGCAAUUGACGCUGAGGCACGAAAGUGUGGGGAUC
rnacentral:rRNA from 1 species